UUACGCUGUUAUCCCUAAGGUAAUUUAAUCUCAUAAUCAACAAAAAUUGGAUCAAAAAAAUAUAAAUUAAUAUAUAAAUAAAAAAAAGAGUUUUUUUAUUUCUUCCUAUCACCCCAACAAAAUACUUUUAAAUAUUAAAUUAUAUCAAACACUAAUAAAUAAUUUAAAAAUAUUAAACUCUAUAGGGUCUUCUCGUCCCACAAAAAAACUUAAGCAUUUUUACUUAAAUUUCAAGUUCAAUAAAAUUUUAAAGAAACAGUAUAUUCCUCGUCCAACCAUUCAUUCCAGUCCACAAUUAAAAGGACUAAUGAUUAUGCUACCUUUGCACGGUCAAAAUACCGCGGCCCUUCAAAUAAAUUUCAGUGGGCAGGUUAUACUUCAUAAAUAAAUUACAGAAGAGAUGUUUUUGUUAAACAGGCG
rnacentral:rRNA from 1 species